rnacentral:rRNA from 1 species
AGUGUCAUUAAGGCACUUAAUUCAAAAUUCAAUUGAAGAGUUUGAUCAUGGCUCAGAUUGAACGCUGGCGGUAACUUUUAAACAUGCAAGUCGAGCGGUAACAGACAUA